rnacentral:rRNA from 1 species
GAUGAACGCUGGCGGCGUGCCUAAUACAUGCAAGUCGAGCGAACAGACGAGGAGCUUGCUCCUCUGACGUUAGCGGCGGACGGGUGAGUAACACGUGGAUAACCUACCUAUAAGACUGGGAUAACCUCGGGAAACCGGAGCUAAUACCGGAUAAUAUAUUGAACCGCAUGGUUCAAUAGUGAAAGACGGUUUUGCUGUCACUUAUAGAUGGAUCCGCGCCGCAUUAGCUAGUUGGUAAGGUAACGGCUUACCAAGGCGACGAUGCGUAGCCGACCGGAGAGGGUGAUCCGCCACACUGGAACUGGGACACGGUCCAGACUCCUACGGGAGGCAGCAGUAGGGAAUCUUGCGCAAUGGGCGAAAGCCUGACGGAGCAACGCCGCGUGGGUGAUGAAGGUCUUCGGAUCGUAUAACUCUGUUAUUAGUGAAGAACAAAUGUGUAAGUAACUAUGCACGUCUUGACGGUACCUAAUCAGAAAGCCCCGGCUAACUACGUG